rnacentral:rRNA from 1 species
GAUGAACGCUGGCGGCGUGCCUAAUACAUGCAAGUCGAGCGAACAGAUCAGGAGCUUGCUCCUCUGACGUUAGCGGCGGACGGGUGAGUAACACGUGGAUAACCUACCUAUAAGACUGGGAUAACUACGGGAAACCGGAGCUAAUACCGGAUAAUAUAUUGAACCGCAUGGUUCAAUAAUGAAAGACGGUUUUGCUUUCACUUAUAGAUUGUUCCCCGCCGCAUUAGCUAGUUGGUUAGGUAACGGCUUACCAAGGCAACGUUGCGUAGCCGACCGGAGAGGGUGAUCGGCCACACGGGAACUGAGACACGGUCCAGACUCCUACGGGAGGCAGCAGUAGGGAAUCUGCCGCAAUGGGGGAAAGCCUGACGGAGCAACGCCGCGUGAGGGAUGAAGGUCUUCGGAUCGUAAAACGCUGUUAUUAGGGAAGAACAAAUGUGUAAGUAACUAUGGACGUCUUGACGGUACCUAAUCAGAAAGCCACGGCUAACUACGUG